AAGACUAUACUUUCAGGAAUCAUUUCUAUAGUUUGUUUAUAGGAUAACAAUCCUAAUGAAUUGAUUUCAAAGAGCAAGCUAUUUGA
rnacentral:snoRNA from 1 species